GCGCGGGUGGUGAAAUCUGGUAGACACGCAAGGUUGAGGGCCUUGUGGGAGCAAUCCCGUGGAGGUUCAAAUCCUCUCCCGCGCA
rnacentral:tRNA from 1 species